rnacentral:rRNA from 1 species
AUUGAACGCUGGCGGCAGGCCUAACACAUGCAAGUCGAACGGUAACAGGAAGCAGCUUGCUGCUUUGCUGACGAGUGGCGGACGGGUGAGUAAUGUCUGGGAAACUGCCUGAUGGAGGGGGAUAACUACUGGAAACGGUAGCUAAUACCGCAUAACGUCGCAAGACCAAAGAGGGGGACCUUAGGGCCUCUUGCCAUCGGAUGUGCCCAGAUGGGAUUAGCUAGUAGGUGGGGUAACGGCUCACCUAGGCGACGAUCCCUAGCUGGCCUGAGAGGAUGACCAGCCACACUGGAACUGAGACACGGUCCAGACUCCUACGGGAGGCAGCAGUGGGGAAUAUUGCACAAUGGGCGCAAGCCUGAUGCAGCCAUGCCGCGUGUAUGAAGAAGGCCUUCGGGUUGUAAAGUACUUUCAGCGGGGAGGAAGGGAGUAAAGUUAAUACCUUUGCUCAUUGACGUUACCCGCAGAAGAAGCACCGGCUAACUCCGUG